rnacentral:rRNA from 1 species
AUGGCCCGCUGCUUUUGCUCUGACGCCGCCGUUAAACCCUGCAGGACGAGACCUCCACUUCUUCAUAGACAAUAUCACAAACACCAUGACUGCACCGAGAAACACGAUGGACAGAGGAAUGCCGAGCCCCAUCGCAAGCCUUUUGCGGUGCCCAUCCUUACGGCUGGCGACACCCCCCGACGCGGGGGCGCUGCGGACGCUGUCGGACACGCUGUGCGAGGGCCUGGACGCGAGGCCGACGGCGCGCAGCCCGUUCGUCUGGAAGCUCCAGCUGUGGAUGACGAAGCCGCCAUCGGUGCUCCUGUUGUCGGACGAGUACGAGACCUGGAAGCCGACGAACAUGAACUCCGCGAAGCGGGCCGCAAGGGCCGUGGCGUUGGCUACCACCAGCGCGGGCGUCGGCGGCCGCAGGCUCGCGUGGCUAAGGAACACCUCCAGGCGAGCCCGGAGCGCGUCGUAGAUGACCCACGAACCGACCUCUCGUUGCCAUUCCGCAGGUCCACCGCCCCGGUGGAGUUCCCGCCGAUGUGCUCGCCAGCGGAGGACGUGCGCACGCGAUUCUUCGACGCGUCGAACACCACCUCGAGCGGGAGAGACCUGUUCCCGCCCGUGCCCUCGGCGGCGGCGACCGGGUCGGGGAGGAGCAGGAAGGAGAGGCGGGAGGCGGGGCGCGCGGAGGCCGGGGAGGCGAAGAGGAAGGAGGUGGAGAAGGAGGCGUUGGGAGGAAACGGUAGAGGGAGCGGGAAGAGGGCGUGGGAGGAGGGCGGCGGGAGGGACACGGAGGCGGAGCGGAGCGAGGCCCCGCCGAGGAGGGUGAGGUUUCGGAGGGAGAAGGACGGGAAGGAGAAGGCGACGGUGGUAGCCGCUUCGGCGGUGGGCGGCGGCUUGAGGGGGAGGAGGAAGAAGGCGACGAGGAGGAGGUAG